UACGUAGGGUGCGAGCGUUAAUCGGAAUUACUGGGCGUAAAGCGUGCGCAGGCGGUUUUGUAAGCCAGAUGUGAAAUCCCCGGGCUUAACCUGGGAAUGGCAUUUGGGACUGCAAGGCUGGAGUUUGGCAGAGGAGACUGGAAUUCCUGGUGUAGCAGUGAAAUGCGUAGAUAUCAGGAGGAACACCGAUGGCGAAGGCAGGUCUCUGGGCUGAAACUGACGUUCAUGCACGAAAGCGUGGGGAGCAAACAGG
rnacentral:rRNA from 1 species